rnacentral:lncRNA from 10 species
UGCCAUGGGAAGAAGCAGAGUUGCUCUUUUGCUCUUUCACAUGUGAGGACACAGUAAAAGGCUGUCAUCAGAUGCCAAAACCUUGGUCUUCGACUUCUCAGCCUCCAGAACGUGUAUCCUUCUGCAGCCCAGGCGAGAGUGCAGUGGCAUGGUCACAGCUCAAUGCGCUCGACUUCCUGACUUCAUGAGCUCAAGUAAUCCUCCUCUUUCAGCCUCCUGAGUAGCUGAGACCACAGGAACACAGCACCACAACUGGUUAAUUUUUAAAAAUAUUUUUGUAGAGACAGGGUCUUGCUACGUUGCCAGGCUGGUCACAAACUCCUGGGCUCAAGCAAUUCACCCUUUUGGUUUCCCGAAGUUCUAGAAGUACAGGCAUGAGACACUGUGCCCAGCUCGUAUACAUAUUUUUGAGAGCUAGAGAUAAAUAUGUAAUGACCUGAGGGGAUAACAUCCACUGUUGCCUGUACCACCUGAGACCUAAAAAGAGCAAAUGGAAACUUAAAGGCAGCUGAUAUAAUGAGAUGAGAAUAGAAUCAUCUGGGAAGAUUGUAAAAGCAGCUAGGACUUGGCCUUCUUUAAGACAUCUUCUCAGGCUCUGUCUGUGAGAACUUGGAGAUAUUCUCUGGAAUUUGUCAGCUCUGCUGGAGAGAAAUCCCUUCACAUCUUCCUCUCCACUGACAUUGGAAGAACUUCCAGACCAACUGAACUUGGCUAUUGGCAUGUUGGUGUUCCCGAGCCAUCACUGUGGUUUUCUACUGCCCUUUUUUAUUACUACAUGUGUGUUAAGUAUUAAUUGCAUGAUUGGUGGUGUAUGAAGGUCUUGCAAUAAACCAUAACUUUGAGCAUAUAUAAUUGGCUAUUGAGUCAUUAUGAAACCUUAUGGCUUUGGUCAGAGUUAGUGUAUGUAGGCAGUGUAGACCUAAUUAACAUAUCAAUUGGCACGGCCAUAGCAGUAACAAGUGGACAGAAUUUCGAAGAGUCCUUAGUCCACCAUUUUUACUCAUGCCACUCUGGAUUUCUUAAGGAACAAUGCAACACAUCUCAAUUGG